UUUAAGGUCUAACCUGCUCAAUGAGUUAUUAAAUAGCCGCAGUAUUUUGACUGUGCAAAGGUAGCAUAAUAAUUAGUUUUUUAAUUGGGGGCUGGAAUGAAUGGUUGGACGAGAAAGUUUCUGUCUCAUUAUUAACUUUUUUGAAUUUUAUUUUUAAGUAAGAAAGCUUAAAUUUUUUUAAAAGACGAGAAGACCCUAUAGAACUUUAUAUUUAGUUUAAUAUAAAUUAUUUGGUUAAUUUAAAAUUAAUAUUUAAUUAUUUAUUUUAUUGGGGUGAUAGAAAAAUUUAAUUAACUUUUUUUAAUGUUUUACAUUUAUUUAUGAUUUUAUGAUUAAUAGAUUUUUAUUAUAAGUUUAAGUUACCUUAGGGAUAACAGCGUAAUCUUUUUUAAAGUUCUUAUUAAAAAUUAGGAUUGCGACCUCGAUGUUGGAUUAAAGUUAAUAUUUGGUGUAGAAGCUAAAUAAUUAGGUCUGUUCGACCUUUAAAAUUUUACA
rnacentral:rRNA from 1 species